UGGAGAAUUUUGGACAAUGGGCGCAAGCCUGAUCCAGCCAUGCCGCGUGAGUGAAGAAGGCCUUCGGGUUGUAAAGCUCUUUCGGUUGGGAAGAAAUUGCUUCGGAUAAUACCCGGAGUAGAUGACGGUACCAGCAUAAGAAGCACCGGCUAACUACGUGCCAGCAGCCGCAGUAAUACGUAGGGUGCGAGCGUUAAUCGGAAUUACUGGGCGUAAAGCGUGCGCAGGCGGUUUUGUAAGUCAGAUGUGAAAUCCCCGGGCUCAACCUGGGAACUGCAUUUGAGACUGCAAGGCUAGAGUGUGGCAGAGGGGGGUAGAAUUCCACGUGUAGCAGUGAAAUGCGUAGAGAUGUGGAGGAAUACCGAUGGCGAAGGCAGCCCCCUGGGCCAAUACUGACGCUCAUGCACGAAAGCGUGGAGAGCAAACA
rnacentral:rRNA from 1 species